CAUUGCACACUCGUGCCCUUCAGAGCAUUAAAAACUCACACUAGAUAUAGGUAGAAGUGGGGAAUUAUUUUGGCAAAACGAGCUGACACGACCUUCAAGGAGCUCAGGAGUCAUUUCCCAGCAGUCCAGCCCUCUGAGUUUUAUCUCCACAGUGGCUGCUCAGAACACAAAAGAAACCAACUUUUCCUGCCUGAAAAGAUCAGCUAUCUUGAUUUCACCGAGACUUUUCCUCUCAUCAGUGUCAAUGUCUGGCUGCUCCUCUAAGUUCAGAGCAAACUCUGCUCUUUCAGCGUGCAGGGACUUGCAGGGAUGUGAACAUGGAAUUCACUUUAGUCACGCUGCUGGAAGCCCACCCAGAUGGGGAUACAGGAAAUUUGUGGGUAUAGGAGGUCAGUGAAAAAGGAAUAAAUAAAAUUUAGAGAUGAUGGGAUGUACAAAAAAUAUAGAAAAUAAUAAAAAAAGAAUGAACAGAA